AACGCUGGCGGCGUGCCUAAUACAUGCAAGUCGUACGAGGGAAGUCCAGCUUGCUGGACGGAACGAGUGGCGAACGGGUGAGUAAUACGUAAGCAACCUGCCUGCAAGGAACUGGGAUAACACCUGGAAACGGGCGCUAAUACCGGAUAGGUAACAAAGGGGCAUCCCUAUGUUAUUAAAGGUUAGAAACACAAGCAGAUGGGCUUACGGUGCAUUAGCUAGUUGGUGAGGUAACGGCCCACCAAGGCGAUGAUGCAUAGCCGGCCUGAGAGGGUGAACGGCCACAUUGGGACUGAGACACGGCCCAGACUCCUACGGGAGGCAGCAGUAGGGAAUUUUCGGCAAUGGACGAAAGUCUGACCGAGCAACGCCGCCGUGAGUGAAGAAGGUUUUCGGAUUGUAAAGCUCUGUUGUAAGGGAAGAACAGCACGGAAAGAAUCCGUGAAUGACGGUACCUUACCAGAAAGCCACGGCUAACUACGUGCCAGCCGCCGC
rnacentral:rRNA from 1 species